AGCGUCCAGCAUGGACUGGUCCAGGCACCUCCGACCCACCCGACGCUCCUGCCCCGGCCCGCUCUCCACUCAGAUCACGCUCGCUCCGCACCCAGCCCCGUAACCUGCCGGGCCGCCACUGCACCCGCCAUACCUGCUCUGGUCCGUCAAGCGCCAUCUUCUCUCUUCAGCAGAGACCGCCGGCAUCCGAGCCGUCUUGGCGCGCAAGCGCGGAAGCGGAGGAUUGGGACCUGAAGACCAGGCAGAGAAGAAUUCCGGGUCAAUGGGCGGGGUGUGCGUUCUUGUGAUAUGCCUUCCUAGUCUCAACUUUCAACUUACAAAACCCAAGGACAGAGUAUUGAGAACAAUCUAGGGCCACACUCAAAAUGGCGGAAAACCUCGAGCCAGGGACGCAGGGGACGCAAGCGGAAGCGGAAAUUGAGGGAUACUCCCCCUUUCCACCAUGGGCAAGAAGGGCAAAGUUGGCAAGAGCCGACGAGACAAGUUUUAUCACUUGGCGAAGGAGACGGGUUACCGUUCCCGAUCUGCUUUCAAGCUGAUCCA
rnacentral:lncRNA from 1 species